UACGGAGGGGGCUAGCGUUGUUCGGAAUUACUGGGCGUAAAGCGCACGUAGGCGGCUUUGUAAGUUAGAGGUGAAAGCCCGGGGCUCAACCCCGGAAUUGCCUUUAAGACUGCAUCGCUUGAAUCCGGGAGAGGUGAGUGGAAUUCCGAGUGUAGAGGUGAAAUUCGUAGAUAUUCGGAAGAACACCAGUGGCGAAGGCGACUUACUGGACACAUAUUGACGCUGAGGUGCGAAAGCGUGGGGAGCAAACAGG
rnacentral:rRNA from 1 species